AAAAACAUUUUUUUAUAUUCCCUGGUUCAUAUAAAAUUCACGUGCUCGAUUGAUCUCGAAUGUAAAUCAGUUUUUGUGGUCAGCGAGCCCUUGAUAACCAAAUAAUUCAUAAAUCGGAUAAAUUAGAAAUUUAUGGAAUAUUCAUACCCACACACAUAUACCCGCGCGUGCGCGCCCACGGACGAACAUUAUUCUGAAAACAGUGAAAAUAGUCGUCUGUUGUCAAAACGUCGUCGUCGUCUGUAGAGAGGUUGAAUUCUCGUAUUGGAUUUUUUGUUCCCACUAGUUUUCUAGUGUUACCUAGUGUAAAAUACUCUACGAUCUAAUAAAUUUGUUUUUUAAAGUUUUGUAAGACUCGGCGGCCUGCUCUGUUGGGAUCCCAUAUUUAAUCGUCCAGUCGUGUUAUAAGUCCGCCGACUUAUAUUUCUUGGAAGAUAUUCCCCCUCUGUGACUACGUAAAUAAUCAUGUACACACUCACACGCUUGCAAAGUAGGGGAAGUGUGAGUGACGGCGUUCAACGGCUGAACCGAAGUGGGUAUACAGGAAUUCUUAGAAUUACAUUCCC